CACGUAGGGCGCAAGCGUUGUCCGGAAUUAUUGGGCGUAAAGAGCUCGUAGGCGGUCUGUUGCGUCCGCUGUGAAAACUCGGGGCUUAACCCCGAGCCUGCAGUGGAUACGGGCAGACUAGAGGUAGGUAGGGGAGAAUGGAAUUCCCGGUGUAGCGGUGAAAUGCGCAGAUAUCGGGAGGAACACCGGUGGCGAAGGCGGGUUCUCUGGGCCUUACCUGACGCUGAGGAGCGAAAGCGUGGGGAGCGAACAGG
rnacentral:rRNA from 1 species